rnacentral:rRNA from 1 species
GACGAACGCUGGCGGCGUGCCUAAUACAUGCAAGUAGGACGCAGUUGCGAACGGGUGAGUAACGCGUAGGUAACUGACUAUUAGAGGGGGAUAACUAUUGGAAACGAUAGCUAAUACCGCGUACUAGUAGAUGGACCGGCGUUGUAUUAGCUAGUCGGUCGGGUAAUGGCCUACCUAGGCUACGAUACAUAGCCGACCUGGGAGGGUGAUCGGCCCCACGUGGACUGAGACACCGGCCAGCCCCCUACGGGAGGCAGCCGUAAGGAAUCCUCGGCAAUGGGGGGAACCCCGACCGAGCAACUCCGCGUGAGUUAAGAAGGUUUUCGGAUCGUAAAGCUCUGUUGUUAAGGAAGCGGUACUUAACCAGAAAGGGACGGCUAACUACGUGCCAGCAGCCGCGGUAAUAC